rnacentral:rRNA from 4 species
UACCCGCUGAGUUUAAGCAUAUCAAUAAGCGGAGGAAAAGAAACUAACAAGGAUUCCCCUAGUAACGGCGAGCGAAC